CAGAGUUGCGAAACUCCAAACCACUGUGAACCUACCGUAACCGUUGCUUCGGCGGGCGGCCCCAGGGCGGGGCCAGCCAGCCUCCCCCGGGGAGGCGCCCGCCGGAGGACCCCACAACUCCUGCACCCCGGUGGCCGCUCUGAGCUAUGUACAAACAAGUCA
rnacentral:misc_RNA from 1 species